UCAGCCCUUGUGCGGAGCUUCCCGGAACGAAAGUCUUCCGGUUCCGGGGGAAGUAUGGUUGCAAAGCUGAAACUUAAAGGAAUUGACGGAAGGGCACCACCAGGAGUGGAGCCUGCGGCUUAAUUUGACUCAACACGGGGAAACUCACCCGGGCCGGACACCGCGAGGAUUGACAGAUCGAGAGCUCUUUCUUGAUUCGGUGGAUGGUGGUGCAUGGCCGUUCUUAGUUCGUGGAGCGAUUUGUCUGGUUUAUUCCGAUAACGAGCGAGACUCUAGCCUGCUAAAUAGCGGAGGCAUUGCCUCGUGCCCGCCGCUUCUUAGAGGGAUUGGCGGCUCCCAGCCGCACGAAACUGAGCAAUAACAGGUCUGUGAUGCCCUUAGAUGUCCGGGGCUGCACGCGCGCUACACUGGCGAAGGCAGCGUGCCUGUCCUGCCGCGAAGGCGGUGGGUAAACCAUUGAAAAUUCGCCGUGAUUGGGAUCGGAGAUUGCAAUUAUUCUCCGUGAACGAGGAAUUCCAAGUAAGUGCGAGUCAUCAGCUCGCGUUGAUUACGUCC
rnacentral:rRNA from 1 species